CCUACGGGUGGCAGCAGUGAGGAAUAUUGGUCAAUGGCCGGAAGGCUGAACCAGCCAUGCCGCGUGAAGGUCAGUGCCCUAUGGGCGUUAAACUUCUUUUGUGCGGGAGCAAUAAUGGUCACGUGUGGCCAGACGAGAGUACCGUACGAAUAAGCAUCGGCUAACUCCGUGCCAGCAGCCGCGGUAAUACGGGGGAUGCAAGCGUUAUCCGGAUUUAUUGGGUUUAAAGGGGUCGUAGGCGGUGAGGUAAGGCAGCGGUGAAAUGCCCCCGCUCAACGGGGGGAAGUGCCAUUGAUACUGCCUGGCUGGAGUGCGGAUGCGGUGGGAGGAAUGUGUGGUGUAGCGGUGAAAUGCAUAGAUAUCACACAGAACACCGAUUGCGAAGGCAUCUCACGAAUCCGCGAUUGACGCUGAUGCACGAAAGCGUGGGUAUCAAACAGGAUUAGAUACCCCAGUAGUC
rnacentral:rRNA from 1 species